ensembl:lncRNA
CUGAGUUUUUGCUUCUUGCAAUCAAGAGGAACAAGGAUUUUGUUCUUCCGUUGAUACCUGCUGGAAUUCACCACUCUAUGCUGAAUCAGUUCCUCCAGGUACUCUGGAAAACCCUACUUUCCAUAUGAAUCUAUGUAUGUAAGACACUCCUCUGGUUUUUCUCUGACACUGCAACCUGGAGACAAGUCAUUUCUCUAAUGAAGCCAUGCAAACAUCAUGUGUUCCUCCGUGGAAAGAAGUGGAGAAGGCCAGGAGCAACAGGACACAGAGCAAACUUAAGUUACAAAGUCCUAACCGGAAGCAAGCAGAGAUGCUGGAGCUGUCCUGGAGAAAGAUAGAGUCACAGAAUCAUAGAACCACCAAGGCUGGAAAAGAUCUCCAAGGUCCAACCCAGUCCAACCUCAACUCACCCCCACCACGCCCACUGACCAUGACCCCUCAGUGUCACACCUCCACAUUUCUUG